GUGCUGGCUUUGGCAACACAUAUACUAAAAUUGGAACGAUACAGAGAAGAUUAGCAUGGGUCCUGCGUAAAGAUGACAAGCAAAUUCAUGAAGCAUUCCAUUAAAAA
ensembl:snRNA U6 U6 spliceosomal RNA